rnacentral:rRNA from 1 species
GGAAAGAGCCCAGCACUGAAUCCCGCGGUUGUCACGGCCGCGGGAGAUGUGGUGUUCGGGAGGUUCCGCUUUCUCGUCGUCGCCGCUCCUGUCCAAGUUCGUCUUGAACGGGGCCGUUUUCCCGUAGAGGGUGCCAGGCCCGUAGAGACGGAGGGCGGCGGCGAGAGGGACUCUCCUCAGAGUCGGGUUGCUUGAGAGUGCAGCCCUAAGUGGGUGGUAAACUCCAUCUAAGGCUAAAUAUUACCGCGAGACCGAUAGCGAACAAGUACCG